CCGCGCCCCCGGGGAGGGGGCAAAGGUGGACGGAGGGUUCUCUGGGGAGCAGACCCUGGCUGCGGGGUCCGCAGCAUCUCCAUCGGCAGCGUCCUCUGAGAAGGCGACCCGGGGAGAGCUCUGCAAAAACCUGGGAGAAGAAACAGGAAAUGGAGGGUUUUAAAGGACUGUCUUCGUUAACCAAAUACUAGUCCGUAGUAUUCCUACAAUGAGGAAGUAGUCACCUGAGAAGUCCUGAGUCCAUCAGUCCUCUGCAACAGUAUAUUUCACACUGUCAAAAACCACCCAUGAUAUCUGUGCAAAUAAAUGACUCCCCAUUGCAUUUCCAUAUUUCUCAAUAAAACUUACUAUGUGCUCAAGAUACACGACUGUUUCUACCAAAAUAAAACGAACACAUCUGACAGCAUAGCAUAG